CAGCCGCCGCGGGAAUACGAAGGGGGCUAGCGUUGUUCGGAUUUACUGGGCGUAAAGGGCGCGUAGGCGGACUGAUGAGUCAGGGGUGAAAUCCCAAGGCUCAACCUUGGAACUGCCUUUGAUACUGUUUGUCUUGAGUUCGAGAGAGGUAAGUGGAACUGCGAGUGUAGAGGUGAAAUUCGUAGAUAUUCGCAAGAACACCAGUGGCGAAGGCGGCUUACUGGCUCGAAACUGACGCUGAGGCGCGAAAGCGUGGGGAGCAAACAGGAUUAGAUACCCCCGUAGUCCCUGUCUCUUAUAA
rnacentral:rRNA from 1 species